rnacentral:rRNA from 1 species
UGAGGAAUAUUGGACAAUGGAGGCAACUCUGAUCCAGCCAUGCCGCGUGAAGGACUAAGGCCCUAUGGGCUGUAAACUUCUUUAGACGCAGAGCAAUAAGGUCCACGUGUGGACCGAUGAGAGUAGCAUACGAAUAAGCAUCGGCUAACUCCGUGCCAGCAGCCGCGGUAAUACGGAGGAUGCAAGCGUUAUCCGGAUUCAUUGGGUUUAAAGGGUGCGUAGGCGGCUUGGUAAGUCAGCGGUGAAAUUCCAGUGCUCAACAUUGGCCGUGCCGUUGAUACUGCUGGGCUUGAAUGCGGAUGCCGUGGGAGGAAUGUGUGGUGUAGCGGUGAAAUGCAUAGAUAUCACACAGAACACCGAUUGCGAAGGCAUCUCACGAAU